rnacentral:lncRNA from 1 species
CUUAAUAUAACAUUUGCGUAGAUACUGUCCUUGUUUGAUCCUCAUUCUUUGGUAAAAAUGUAUUUUUUAACAGUAUUUUGACAUCAUUUCAACCACAUAUUUUUCAAUAAAAUAAUAUUACACACAAAUCUAAAACUUUUCCUUAUUUUUUAACCACACAUUUCACAUCAAUACACUAUUCAAAAAUUCAUUCUAUCCCCAAAAAUGGGGCUUAAACAAGGACACUAUUAUAAAUUGUAUC